CGCGAGGUGCACUAGGGCACACGGUGCCCUUGGGCUGUCCCACCACCUUGGAGGCCCGGGAAAGUCCUCCCUCAAGGCCUGCAGGUUGUAGGGAUAAAUUGGGCUCGGCGAGCAGUUCCUGUGUAGACAGAGAGGCAAGUCAAAGGGGGACCUGUCAGCCGCCCCCCCCCCCCCAACUUCCCUGCGUGGACCGCAGCCCCCUCCCCUGCGUCACGGGGCUCUGGCAGAGGACAGGCCGCGCCUGCGCAUUGCACUCCUAGUUACCAUUCCCCCCCCCCCCUCUUCCCCCCAACACCCUCAUCUCCCAGCAAGAUGGGCGCCGUAGGUGGGGCGACUCCGCUAAUGGUGCAGGGGGGACUGUGGGCUCCGUAGCGGCCCAGGGAGGGUGAGGGGGGCUGCAUGCUUGGGUCCCCUGGCGCCUAAGGAGGGCUGGGAGUCCCGGGGAACGUCUCUGCAGCUCUGCAGAGCCAACAGAGGCCCGAGUCCUUUCCAUCCCAAAGACCCCCUCUGUGGGCAGCCUCACAGCUCUCCUGGAAUUGGCUAGUCUACAGAGAAACCCUCUGAGAAACUGCUCUGAGCGGUUUAAUCCAUCCCAAUCCGGCUGCCAAGCAAAGCAGAUGAAUGAAUUUGCCUGAGGUCACACGUUAGGAAAUGGUGGGGCCAGGAUUUGAGACCAGACCUUUAAGGACUAACCACAUACAUGUUCCAGAAAGCAGCAGUGAGUAAGACAUAAGAAUACCUGCUUUUCUGUAGCUUGCAUCCUACUGAGGACAGAAAAUAAAUAAUAGAAAUAAUUAUACAGUAUAUUAGGAAGUGAACAUGCUAUGGAGAAAAAUAAAGCAAGGAGAGCAGAAGUGUGCAAAAUUGGGAUUAGUUACAAUCCUCAGAGGACUGUGAGGAUUAGAGACAACCUAGGUGACAUACAGAAAGUGUUGGGCACACUAUGGGGACUCAAAUGAUGACUUUUUAGAACUCACUGCUUUAUUCCUGCAGAGCUGACUUGCUGAUGAUUCUGUCUUGAAUCUCCUCUUCCUGGCCCUGUCACCCAGCCCCCCAGGAAACAUUCUCAAAAGAGUUCUAACAACUGGAAGAAUCACAGGCUUCCUUAUUUCUAGAGGCCCCAGUCCCCUGCUUAGGGUAUGAUUCCUGUGUAGAGGGCUGUGUCUAUGUGCAGGGAAGCAAUUUCCGAGAUCCUGAUCU